GGAUUGUGGCUCAGCGGUAAAGCACUUGCCUAGCACAUGCGAGGCCCUGGGUUCCAUCCUCAGCACCA
rnacentral:tRNA from 1 species